UUUACAAACAUUUUGAGAUGGAGGUAGAGAGAGAAAGUGGAUCUAAAGGAGAAAAGAAAAGAUGAACUAGAGAGAGAAAGUUUGGGAUUGGAGGCUAGGAGCUAAAUUGAAGUUAGGGUUUGGAUUCUUGAAGAUUAUAGACGGCGCGUAGGAUUAGUUGCUUUCUUUUGGUGAGUAUGCUUGGAUGAUAGCUUUGGUCGGAGCUACCUCGUUUAUCGCUUUGAUGUCGUAGUUCAUAGGGCUCUGAUUAGGUAUCGGACCUAGAUGUUUUAUUAUUAUAUAUCUAUUGGAGAUUUUUGAGACUAUGUAGUGAUAUGAGUUGUAUGAUGACAUGGCUAGUGACUUAUUAUAUUAUAGUUUAUUGUUGUGGUGAUUACUUUUAUUUGAUGAAGAGGUGCUAUUAUUAUUC